rnacentral:rRNA from 1 species
UACGUAGGGUGCGAGCGUUGUCCGGAAUUAUUGGGCGUAAAGAGCUCGUAGGCGGUGUGUCGCGUCGGUCGUGAAAACUUUCAGCUUAACUGGGAGCUUGCGGUCGAUACGGGCAUCACUGGAGUUCGGCAGGGGAGACUGGAAUUCCUGGUGUAGCGGUGAAAUGCGCAGAUAUCAGGAGGAACACCGAUGGCGAAGGCAGGUCUCUGGGCAUUAACUGACGCUGAGGAGCGAAAGCAUGGGGAGCGAACAGG